GGGGAUGACAGGUAUCGAUGAGAGUUCAUUUUUUGAUAAGCAAGUCGAGCUUAAAAUCUCGUAAAACUUUUAAACCUAACAACUGCUAAACCUAAUUUAGCUUUUGCUACUGCUUAAGUUCGGUAGCCAUCCAAUCUCUUGAUUUCUGAUAGGGAGUCUCGGGUGUCAAUUUUUCAGAAUAGGCAAUUAAAUUAUCUCGCUUUUUUGCCAAAACUUUAGAGAUAAGGGUUAAGAAUUUUUUGCUUGAUUUUUCAGUUCUUAAUUCCUCAAAUUAAAUCGAGCUAAGCUUGUAGAAUUGUUAAACAAUGACUUUUAGACGGGGGUUCGAUCCCCCCAUCUCCACU
rnacentral:tmRNA from 1 species